UCUCGAGUCGUAUCUCCCUGCAGUUCUCGCCUGCUGUCCCACUGAAGCUAAGCAGGGUUGAGCCUGGACGGUACCUGGAUGGGGAAAACUAAGGUUGCUGCUGGAA
rnacentral:rRNA from 1 species